rnacentral:rRNA from 1 species
GACGAACGCUGGCGGCGUGCUUAACACAUGCAAGUCGAACGAAGAGCGAUGGAAGCUUGCUUCUAUCAAUCUUAGUGGCGAACGGGUGAGUAACGCGUAAUCAACCUGCCCUUCAGAGGGGGACAACAGUUGGAAACGACUGCUAAUACCGCAUACGAUCUAAUCUCGGCAUCGAGGAUAGAUGAAAGGUGGCCUCUACAUGUAAGCUAUCACUGAAGGAGGGGAUUGCGUCUGAUUAGCUAGUUGGAGGGGUAACGGCCCACCAAGGCGAUGAUCAGUAGCCGGUCUGAGAGGAUGAACGGCCACAUUGGGACUGAGACACGGCCCAGACUCCUACGGGAGGCAGCAGUGGGGAAUCUUCCGCAAUGGACGAAAGUCUGACGGAGCAACGCCGCGUGAGUGAUGACGGCCUUCGGGUUGUAAAGCUCUGUUAAUCGGGACGAAAGGCC